GACGAACCGUGCAAACGUUGUUCGGAAUCACUGGGCUUAAAGGGCGCGUAGGCGGGUCUCCCAGUCUGUGGUGAAAGCCCCCGGCUUAACCGGGGAAGUGCCGUGGACACUGGAGACCUCGAGGAGGGUAGGGGCAUCUGGAACAGUAGGUGGAGCGGUGAAAUGCGUUGAUAUCUACUGGAACUCCGGUGGCGAAGGCGAGGUGCUGGACCCUUUCUGACGCUGAGGCGCGAAAGCCAGGGGAGCAAAGCGGG
rnacentral:rRNA from 1 species